AUUGAACGCUGGCGGCAUGCUUUACACAUGCAAGUCGAACGGCAGCAUGGGUGCUUGCACCUGAUGGCGAGUGGCGAACGGGUGAGUAAUGUAUCGGAACAUAUCCGCAAGUGGGGGAUAACGUAGCGAAAGUUACGCUAAUACCGCAUAUUCCCUGAGGGGGAAAGGAGGGGAUCCGCAAGGACCUUUCGCUUACGGAGUGGCCGAUAUCAGAUUAGCUAGUUGGUGAGGUAAAGGCUCACCAAGGCUUCGAUCUGUAGCGGGUCUGAGAGGAUGAUCCGCCACACUGGGACUGAGACACGGCCCAGACUCCUACGGGAGGCAGCAGUGGGGAAUUUUGGACAAUGGGGGCAACCCUGAUCCAGCCAUGCCGCGUGAGUGAAGAAGGCGUUCGGGUUGUAAAGCUCUUUCAGCUGGAAAAAAAUCGCUUCACCUAAUACGUGGAGUGGAUGAUGGUACCAGCAGAAGAAGCACCGGCUAACUACGUGCCAGCCGCCGCGGUAA
rnacentral:rRNA from 1 species